rnacentral:RNase_P_RNA from 1 species
AGCGGACCGGACAGUCGCGUGCUGUUUAUCAGCAUGAGGAAAGUCCGAGCUCCAUAGGGCGGGAUAACGGCUAACGGCCGCCGGGGGCGACCCCAGGGAAAGUGCAACAGAGAUAUACCGCCGCAUUUUGCGGUAAGGGUGGAAAGGCGAGGUAAGAGCUCACCGGCAUACAGGAGACUGUAUGGCCCUGCAAACCCUAUCCGGUGCAACGCCAGCCGAAGCGAUACAUUGGCCCGAUGUGCUUCAAAAGGCGGCUUGAGCUAUGUGGCAACACAUGGUCGAGAUAGAUGACUGUCCAAGACAGAACUCGGCUUACAGGUCCGCUCAU